AGUUAGCUGUCUUCUCUGUACUUAGUGCUAGUGUGCGCCAAAACUUACCUUACCCUGCUCUCUAUCUAGAACCUAGUGCACAUGCGCAGGCCAUUAAAUUUCUAAGCUGAACUCAGCAUUUCCCUGGGACUUGAGCUCUAAAUCGCUCAAAGCACUCUGUAAAAGUUUGUCCACAUUGUUGCACCUCUUUGUCUCACAAGCGUCUCUUCUAUGAUAGUGCCACAAAUCAGUGGAUUAAGAAAAUUCGCCUCACUACUGAAGACCACCGAAGGGAGCUUACUUCUACUGAGCAAGCUAUUGAAGAAUGUGCUUCAUUACUGACGAACAUGAGGUAGCAGCUGGAGGUGCAGCUCAAGCUGAUAGUCCUCCGCCAUUAGUAGAUUUUGGAGAUGACCCAAACUUUAGCCAAGAUAGUGAUGGCUAUUUUGAACCAGACACUGGAUUAUUAAUACCAGCAGAAGCUGAAGGCAGUGCAGAGUCAGUACGGAUGAGAUACAUUCGAAGGGUCAGGAUCUCGAUGAAAUUGAAUUAUGGGAUGAUAAUGAAGACAACUGUGACGAGGGUGUAUCUUCCCACACAAGAAGCGUUAAGCUCAUUCUGUCUACUCAUGAUAUUGUAUCUCUUCAAACACUCCCCUAAUGCAUCCAGCUUCUCUAUCUCGGCGCCAAGCCGCCAAGCACAUCAAGUUCAUGGCAACGUCACAAACAUAGAUCAAGGAACCAAUUCCUCACUUCGGUGGAGGUGACAGGUGACAGGAUCCAGAUAUCUGAUCUAGGCUGAGUUGGUCAUCAUGGCUUGGAGAAUGAAGAUAAAACUUCCAAAGCUGCAAAUAACUCAAAGGCAAACAGGUUCAGCUGUGAGAAGGUCUGUUACUCCCAGGGGUCUGCCGAAGGCCAAUCAUGAGACUGAAACAACAGUGAAAACAAGCACUGAUCAUGAAGCCAAUUCCAUCCGGAUUGACACCAGCACUCUUGAUCAGAAUGAAGACGUGGAGAACCAGGGUGCACGACGUUUGCAUGAGAUAAAACAAAUUGCUAAUGCUGAAUCGUGGGGGAAAAUUAGAGAGCAUCUCUUAAAGGCUGCUGUUGAAAGUUCUAUUCUUCCACCUGGCCAGUCUUGCAGUGUGUGCGCUAACUGUGCACAGUACAGAUGUGUUGAUUGUGGGCCUACAAUAUACUAUUGUGAGGCUUGUCUCGGAGAUUCUCAUUUGAUGCGCAACAUUUUUCACUGUGCUGAAAUCUGGGAGGAUGAAAUGUACAAGCCAAUAACUAUCGAGGGCCGGUGUAUUGAUGUCUCUCCUAAUCACCAAUGUUCCACAAAGAAGGCAGUACCUCUUUGCUGUAUUGACACAAAAGGGAUUGAGCACAGAAUCCAGUUUUGGUGUUGUGAAUGUGAGACUGUAUGUGAAACAAUGAUACGAGCUCGUCUAUGGCCAGCAAGCCCAAGAUUCCCAGAAACAGCAUUCACUUUUGAGCUACUAGACUGGGCCGAGUCGCUUCUUCUGGAAUGUCAAGUAGCACUUGGUGACUUUUGCAGGUCAUUAUACUUUAAUUGCCCACAUUUAGUGAACAAGAGAAGAGACAUUUAUGCUUCAAUGAUCGACGCUUUUGAAGAAUACAGGUAUUUGAAAAUGGAACUCCGGCAUAUGAGUUUUGUGAGCCCAAAGCUUGACAGUGGCAACAUCUGUCCAGCUUGUCCAAAGAAUGACGGAAGCCUUUUCAUUUCAAUGGAUGCUUUGUUUGGUCUACCCCGAAAAAAGUCUGCUGGGAAGAGCCACAGGCCUCCACUUCAUGACUCUCUAUUUUUUAAAGAUCAAAGCAGUGUUGAUGAGUAUGUGUCAAAUUCUUCCGAGAUUAGGGGAGUAUGUUUAUCAUUAAUAAAUGCCAGUUACUGUAUCACACACAGACUUGUAAUGAUUUCCUUGCUGGAAGUGCAUUGAGAUCUGCAAAUAGAUACUGUGCCCUCGAUGAGACAGCUGUGUUUGGAUCUGCCUGUAGACAUGAAUUUCCCCUCAUGUUUAUCAAUUUGAAGCAUGGUGAAAGGUUGUCAUAUGCAAAGUGGUUGCUGCUAGAAAUGGUUCAGAAUUAUCCCACUCAGAAACUUAAUAUCAUGUAUGAUAUUGCUUGCAAGCUCCAUAAAAACUUAUUG